UCCCGUUUGACACGGGCAGUCCCUCUAGAGUGCCCAACUAAAUGAUGGCAACUAGAGGCAAGGGUUGCGCUCGUUGCGGGACUUAACCCGACACCUCACGGCACGAGCUGACGACAGCCAUGCAGCACCUGUGCUGGCCACCCUUGCGGGUUCAUUGCCGUUUCCGGUUCUUACUACCAGCAUGUCAAACCUGGGUAAGGUUCUUCGCGUUGCGUCGAAUUAAACCACAUGCACCACCGCUUGUGCGGGCCCCCGUCAAUUCCUUUGAGUUUCAAUCUUGCGAUCGUACUUCCCAGGUGGGAUACUUAAUGCUUUCGCUCAGACACCAACAGUGUAUCGCUGAUGUCGAGUAUCCAUCGUUUAGGGCGUGGACUAC
rnacentral:misc_RNA from 1 species